AACGAACGCUGGCGGCAGGCCUAACACAUGCAAGUCGAGCGCCCCGCAAGGGCAUCGGCGGACGGGUGAGUACCGCGUGGGAACUUACCCUUUGCUACGUAAUAGCCUCGGGAAACUGGGAGUAAUACCGUAUGUGUCCUUCGGGAGAAAGAUUUAUCGGCAAGGGCUCGGCCCGCGUUGGAUUAGGUAGUUGGUGGGGUAAUGGCCUACCAAGCCGACGAUCCAUAGCUGGUUUGAGAGGAUGAUCAGCCACACUGGGACUGAGACACGGCCCAGACUCCUACGGGAGGCAGCAGUGGGGAAUCUUAGACAAUGGGCGCAAGCCUGAUCGAGCCAUGCCGCGUGAGCGAUGAAGGCCUUAGGGUUGUAAAGCUCUUUCAGGGGGGAAGAUAAUGACUGUACCCCCAGAAGAAGCCCCGGCUAACUCCGUG
rnacentral:rRNA from 1 species